ACUUUCCACUCCUCUGUCGGCAAUGUCACACUGUACCAGAACUGUCAAACAACAUAGAUCGAAGUCUUUUGUUUCAGAACACUAAAAACAUUUGUUCAGUUGUAUUAGCCCAGGGGCCAUUUCCAGCCCUCAGGAUUUUUAUCAGAGGAACCAUGUUUUUGAACAUUUCUUUUUUAUUGGCCCUUACUUUUUGUCAUCACAUGGAAGUGAGCUCACUGUUUGGCCUCAAGGGUCUAAAAGUGUAGCGCCUGACAAGUGCAGUCGAUCUACAAUGGCCUGUACAAUCUCCAUUAGGAUAAAUAUGGACACGUGUUAAAGUCCAUCAAAUACAACUAUGUACAUGUAUGCAAACAAUGAAAGAAUACAGGAUGUGCUGGAUAAGCUGAAAUGGUUUUUGACAGUGCUAAAUUAGGAACCCCUAAUGACUCUUGAAUCAUAGUUUUGCAUAUUAAAUAUUUAUGAUUAAAGGUUGAGGAGGCUUCAACUCUCAAGUAGCCAUAUUCAUGCCAAACACUUGAGGAUCAUUUGGAGAAAUAAACAGUAAUGAUAUACUUUCAAUCAUUUGGGGGGCAGGUAGGACCCUAAAAUAUUUAUAUUCAUUUAUUUAUAUCAAUAUUUGUCGUCGUCUUCACAAGUUCAUUAGCUUACAUUGAGGCCAAAGAUGACUCUGGUUUAUAAAAAAUGACAGCUGCUGUGUCCAAAAACUUCUUCACAGUUCCUUAAACCAGAGAAAUUACAGUCUGCAUUUCCCACCCUUCCAGACAAUAAGACAGGGGAACAUUAUGUCCUUGGCGUACAGCUGUUAUAGUCGCAGUGUUGUUAAAAAGUAAAAAUUAAAAAAGAAUAUUUAAUUUCUCCUACAGUUUGUAGAACUAGCAGGCAACUGCUGUGCAAAAAAAGCUCUGUUGACACUCCUAAUUAUGCAGAUUGUCUUGUUCUCAUUUCACCAUUUAGACCUGUUUAUUAUUUUUUUCCUUUUCUCCUGUGGACAGCUUUUCACUUGUAAAGGAAAAGCCUGUAAGGAGGCCUCCAUGUCACACAUUAGUGCUCUUGUGGUUCUGGCAAACCUCAGAUCAAAAUCCCCACAACUCCAAUAACAGGAGAUGAACCAUUUCCUCCUCCUUUACCCCUCCCUCCUCCUCCUCCUCCUUCUCCUUCAUGUCCUUACACCAGAAGUGUUCCUGAAGGCGAGCAAUCAAUAGAGCUCACGCUGAAAGGCUGUAAACCUGAAAUAGUACCCAUGACAAGCCCUUGCAGGUAAUAGGUCAGAUGUAUUGAUUGAUCUGUUCAUAAACACACAUUUUAGGAGGGUUCACAGCGAAAUGCUCUGUCCAUGUAUAACACAAACAUGGCACAAUUUAUGAGAUUUAUCUGUGUGCUGGUAAAGAUUUGAAUGUCCCUCUGGCUCUAAUUUUUACAGGAAAUGCAGCUUUGAAAGGUUUGUUGGCAAAGGUGAUACAUAAAUCAUGCGCAGCAACUUCAAUUUUCUAAAAUUAUUAAGUGCCCUCUCAGCCAAAUUGCAAAGCCAGAAGAGGAAAUCGUACAUCAGACCACAUACAGUUGUCUCACCUCUGCUGUCACUCUACGAGACGUGCUUUUAGCAAAAGGCUUCAUGAGAAUGUGUGCGCUGUAAUAAAAUGUUGAGGCUACAGUGCAAACUGACAUUUACCACUCACUCAGUCGUGUGAUUCUUUGAAUGUGCAGUUUCCGUGCACUUGGGAGAAGUAGACCUUUCACGGUUUAUUGUAUAUACGGCUAAUGCCUCCGAGAAGGCAGCUGAAACUCCUGUGAGAAACUUUCCACAAAUCUCAACCUGCUGUCUUCCGUCUCCGAACACAUCACUCAGCAAGAAUUUUUCGCCAAAGAAGAUGUAAAGCAACAGCAGCUGUUUUAGCAGGUGCAGCCAUUUACAUCUGCUGACACCUAACUCAUGACCCUGAUUUAUUAUUGAAAUCUGGAAUCAGCAGUCAUUAGGAUACAAUUUGAUAUGUCUUUGUAGGUGAUAAACAAAACAAACAGGAAAAUAAGAAGGAUUAAAUGCCAUUAUCAAGAUCACUUAUGAUUAAAUGUAGCUUUUCAGAGAGAGAAUCAUCCCAUGAGUGAAAUAACCACAAUCUUGACUCCAGUACUUUCCCCCUUUUCUGACCCCACUUCCACUCAUGAUCAUUUUCUUACAGUCCCUGAAGUUGUUAAAAACUUUUCUAUGCAUGGAGGUAAAAGCUGAAUAUGCAGGUCAACUGCGCUGGAUUUGCAUUUCAUCGGAAAGGAAUAUAAAGGCCUGUAGGAGAAGAUAACCCUGCCAGGUGUCACUGUAGAAUUGCCUUUGCAGACCAUUUGAAGUCACGGCACAUUUUCACUGUACACUUUUGAAGUCUUAACCACGCCGACGUGACACAGAUUCCUACUCAUCCUGAGGAGACGCCGUGUCCUUCAUCAAACUGAAACGGAGACGAUGCAAUCUCUCCCUCUCCCCUAUCAACCCCCCCCACUCUUGCUCUCCCUCUGUCUCCCAUCACUAAUAAGCAGCGCUCUUUUCUUCAUGCAUGAGGGACUUGCAAUCGCUCCCCUCCCUCAGUCAGACAGAUAGCAGGGGAGAUGGAUGUGUCAGUCAGUCAGCGGUGUCUCAUCUCAGUCAGUUGCUGUGUGUUCUUCAGGUUAUUUAGAGGCCUGCUGGCCGGUAAACCCCACACUGCUCGUUUUUUAGGUCUCAGAUUUGUCUGGGGAAAACAGGAGCAACCUCGCUUUGCUUAGUUGUUUUCCAGCUGCCUUUCUUGGUGCUUCUUUGACAUGAGCGUCCGUGCCAAUCUUCAAUCCAUCAUUCAAUAAAUGAUUGAAUAAAUAGGAACGACUGCGAUACUUUUGCUUGUAGCAUUGGGUGGCAAAGCCGGUUCUUCAGGUCCUUUUCUGCCAAGACAUCCCCACCCCUGCCCGACACAAACUGGAACAGUCAGUUCAGUACAUCCCUCCAUCUGCCUCUCCGCAGUGUCACAUCAAUGAAUAACAAGCACCCCAGCCACAAUCUCCAAUUAUGCAAAUCGAUGGCAGGAUCCAGAUAUAGGGUUGUUUGUGGCGGAUCUAAAUGCAGAUGCACUGAUGGUUUAGAGUUCUAUCACAUUACAGUCAUGAAUAAAGGACUGUCAGCAAAGACUUUCUGCUCAGGCAUGUCUGUAAGCUGCUGGUUGGUAUUGUACUCUACAGAGAUGUUAUUAAAAAAGUACAAAGGCUAGACAACGUUAUUUUUCUACCUGCCAACUCCAUUCAUGUCCAACAGAUCUUCCGUGUAACCCUGUAUGUCGACGAUGUGAUACUAUACAUCGGGUUUGCCAUGGGCUUCCCUCAGACACAAAUUGUAUUUAUACGAUUGAAUUCAAGCCCUCUAUAUUCCACCAAUUUUAUUCAAUUUCUUUUGUUGUUUUUUAGAUUAGAUUCAUUUUGCCUUCUUUUUGCUGGUAAUCAGUAAAUGCCGGACUCAGAAAUUAGACACUUUUUUUUUCUCAAGCUCCAGAUAUGAAAACAACAACAACAACAAAAAAAAACUAAAGUAGUCCUGACUUCCAAUGCCUCACUGCAAUAUACUUUUUAAUAAAAAAAAAAUAUUUUUUUUUUUUUCAGGAUGAAUUAUGUAGAUGAAUUUCACCUUCCACCCAGAUGCCGAUGGUUUAACGAGUUAAAUAAACAAUAUACUGGGUAUCUCUUUUAAAUGAAGGUUAUGACCUGUAAUUUGUAUUAAUUUUCCGCAGUGCGUGAAGUUCAAGCAGGUCAGCCCAAACGCUGGAAAAAAAAAGGAAAGAAAAAAGAAGGCGAGGCAAAGGUUUCUCCCUCUCGCAGAAUAGGAUGACUUCUAACAGUUUUUGCAUAUUAAAUAGAGGCAGUGGUGAGCUCUUCUCACAAAAGCAGGGACUGUGAAAAGAGAGAAGCAGCAACAAGCCCUGAGAAUCUCACCUUUUGUUGGUCCUAUCUUUUCAUGGCCAACAGUAUUUUACUUUUAAAAACAAUUUUGUUCCCUUGACAAAUGCAUUUCUUCGACUCUUGAGGGCAUAAUGGUUUUGCCACAGCUUGUGACCCUUACCUCUACAGUCUUGAUCUGAUAACAACAUCUCCUUGAACAUUUUUUCUUCUUCCAUUGAAACAUUUCGACAGACAGAUUUGCUGUUUUAUCCAUCGUGAUCUUUUGACUUAGAGUUAUUGACGUCACGGACAAAACAUUGUUUCUUUCUUCCACACAACAAAGAGCAGAGAGCACUUUCUAUUCAGGUCGGUUGGAGCUCUGCUACAAUCACAGCUAGAGUGAUGAUGACCUGAUCCCACUUAAAACAGCCUUGCUUGAAGUGCCCCGUGGAUCUACGUUGGAGUUUGAUGUGUGAGACAGCGUGAACUGUCGGCUAAUGCAGCAGUCCUGCCUUAAAGCGUGUCACAGCUAAUUUUCCCUUCUUUACUAUUUUCAUCUUCCCAUCCUUUUAGUUUUUGGGGUUUGAGAGUCCGUGUGUGUGCGCUCACAUCUGGGUUGCACUCAUGGCAGUGUUCUACUUCCUUUGUUGUGGAGUUAAUUGGCUGGUGUUGCAUCUUGACGUGGGGUUUUCAUUAUCACUUACUAUAGCGUUAGCUUCUGUUCAGAUUUAGAGUGCCAGGAGGAGGAGGCCGGAACUUAAAGACUUCAAACACGAAUCCUUUCUGUCACAAGACUUAGAAGUUGUUACGAUAGCUAUGUUGAGAUGUCUCAAGCAAUCGACUGGUGGCAGCUGGUCAAUGAAAGGCACUGUGGGGCUGCUCCACCACUCCUCCUCACAAGAAGAAUGGACUUCUGUCGGAUCGGAUGUUUUCAAAUUGGUUUUAUAUAUUUUUAUCCGGGCUGUCAAACAACUAUUUUCUUCAUCACAGAAUUUCAGUCAUGACAUGCAAUUAACUGA